CCACUGAAGUUGCCCAGUG
rnacentral:snRNA from 1 species